rnacentral:rRNA from 1 species
UCACGCAUUGCGUCUCCCCCACAACCCAAUCAGUGGAGGGGAAGGAUGAUGGCUUCCCGUGCCUCACCCGGUGCGGUUGGCCUAAAAAUGGAGCCCGUGGUACUAAGUUCUCGCGGCGAUAGGUGGUGAACAAGGCUUCGGCCGUGCUAACAACCUGCCUCGAAUCUUUAUGCCUUGUGCGCUCGUUGGACCCUUUGAUGUCGUCGGCGACCCAAACCUAUGCGAC